rnacentral:rRNA from 1 species
UGAGGAAUAUUGGUCAAUGGGCGCGAGCCUGAACCAGCCAUUCCGCGUGAAGGAAGAAGGCCUUAUGGGUUGUAAACUUCUUUUCUGUAAGAAGAAAAGUCCCGACGUGUCGGGAUGUGACGGUAUUAUAGGAAUAAGCAUCGGCUAACUCCGUGCCAGCAGCCGCGGUAAUACGGAGGAUGCAAGCGUUAUCCGGAUUUAUUGGGUUUAAAGGGUGCGCAGGUUGUUUUAUAAGUCAGUGGUGAAAGUCUGUCGCUUAACGAUAGGAUUGCCAUUGAUACUGUAGGACUUGAGUAUGGAUGAGGUAGGCGGAAUGUGUAGUGUAGCGGUGAAAUGCAUAGAUAUUACACAGAACGCCGAUUGCGAAGGCAGCUUACUAAUCCAUGACUGACGCUGAGGCACGAAAGCGUGGGGAUCAAACA